rnacentral:rRNA from 1 species
UACGAAGGGGGCUAGCGUUGCUCGGAAUUACUGGGCGUAAAGCGCACGUAGGCGGAUUGUUAAGUCGGGGGUGAAAUCCUGGAGCUCAACUCCAGAACUGCCUUCGAUACUGGCGAUCUCGAGUUCGGGAGAGGUGAGUGGAACUGCGAGUGUAGAGGUGAAAUUCGUAGAUAUUCGCAAGAACACCAGUGGCGAAGGCGGCUCACUGGCCCGAUACUGACGCUGAGGUGCGAAAGCGUGGGGAGCAAAUAGG